rnacentral:lncRNA from 1 species
CAUUCAGCAUCAGUCAACUAGGGAUUUGAGGGUAUAAUUUUUCUUUUUCUUUUGAAAAAUAUUUUGAAAUUUUUUUCCUGAUUUUUGAUUUUUUUCUUCUUUUUCACCCUCUUCUCUUUUUUUUCUUACAUUACAUUUGUAAUGCCCCAGUUUGACUGUUUUGCUGAUUCUCAUGAUACAGCUGAAUGAGCCUCUUUCGUGCUCAAGAAGAC